rnacentral:rRNA from 1 species
GAUGAACGCUGGCGGCGUGCCUAAUACAUGCAAGUCGAGCGAACAGAUGAGAAGCUUGCUUCUCUGAUGUUAGCGGCGGACGGGUGAGUAACACGUGGGUAACCUACCUAUAAGACUGGGAUAACUCCGGGAAACCGGGGCUAAUACCGGAUAAUAUUUUGAACCGCAUGGUUCAAUAGUGAAAGACGGUUUCGGCUGUCACUUAUAGAUGGACCCGCGCCGUAUUAGCUAGUUGGUAAGGUAACGGCUUACCAAGGCGACGAUACGUAGCCGACCUGAGAGGGUGAUCAGCCACACUGGAACGGAGACACGGUCCAGACUCCUACGGGAGGCAGCAGUAGGGAAUCUUCCGCNNUGGGCGAAAGCCUGACGGAGCAACGCCGCGUGAGUGAUGAAGGUCUUCGGAUCGUAAAACUCUGUUGUUAGGGAAGAACAAAUUUGUUAGUAACUGAACAAGUCUUGACGGUACCUAACCAGAAAGCCACGGCUAACUACGUGCCAGCCGCCGCGGUAA